rnacentral:rRNA from 1 species
CAGCCAGACUCCUACGGGAGGCAGCAGUGGGGAAUAUUGCACAAUGGGGGGAACCCUGAUGCAGCGACGCCGCGUGAGUGAAGAAGUCAUUCGUGAUGUAAAGCUCUAUCAGCAGGGAAGAAAAUGACGGUACCUAACUAAGAAGCCCCGGCUAACUACGUGCCAGCAGCCGCGGUAAUACGUAGGGGGCAAGCGUUAUCCGGAUUUACUGGGUGUAAAGGGAGCGUAGACGGCAGCGCAAGUCCGAAGUGAAAGCCCGGGGCCCAACCCCGGGACUGCUUUGGAAACUGUGAAGCUGGAGUGCGGGAGGGGCAGGCGGAAUUCCUGGUGUAGCGGUGAAAUGCGUAGAUAUCAGGAGGAACACCGGCGGCGAAGGCGGCCUGCUGGACCGUAACUGACGUUGAGGCUCGAAAGCGUGGGGAGCAAACAGGAUUAGAUACCCCAGUA